ensembl:lncRNA
CGCUCAGUACGGACAGCCUAGGAGAGCCGGGGGGGGGAGAAAAGAAAAAACAGCGACUGCCACUUCCACGCGCCUGACUGGGGGCGCGGACUCGGGUGACGGCAGCACGCGGGCCCCGACCGCACCCGGACGCAGCAUCUGAGCUCCCGGGCCGGCGACGGGAGUCACGCGGCCGCAGUUUGCUGAGCAGAUGACUAGGACGGAGAUAAAAGAGUCAACAUUUUGGGGCCAACGGCACAACUGAAAAUCCCAGAAAAGUGUGGACUUUCCAGGAAAAGGCAUUUUUGAACACCAGUCUGCACAUGAUUUCGGAUUUAUGGACAAAGGGAUCUUAUUUAUAAAGCCAUACCCAUGAACUCCCACCUUAGUCACAGAGAUACCAUCCCACAAAUAAUUGCCUUACUAGAAGAGUAAAGUACUCCUUGCCCAAAUAUUGAAGGACAGCUUUUACCUUAUUCUGCCUGUUUUUCUCUUGAGUUACAGGCACUAAAUAGUAUGUUGUAUGGUAUAUAUUACAUAGAAACAUGUUAAGAGAGUCAUGGAAGGACCUAGGCUUUCUCAAGGUACAAGGCCAAGGCCUCAGACCUUAGCCCUAAUUAUAUUUCAGGAGGAUUUGUAGAUUCCACACUAGGUCUAUUAUAAUUUUCAUCAAUUUUGAUUAAACUGAGGAGUUGGUUUUACAAAUGUUCAUGCUCAUAGAACUCAAAAUCCGAGAAGCUGGCCCAUUUGUCUGACACACUGACACCCACUGGUCCAUCAUACCCACUGUCCUCACUGUGAGCCAGAGGAAAAGUUCAUACACUUGCCCAGUCCUGAAAUACGAGCUCUGACCAACCUCUAACCCACCCUCCCACCAAAACCAGGAUUUCUCCCACAGUAUCCUCAACACCUGAACAUCCACUUCAGCUUUAAAAUCUCCAAGGAGCUCAUUACUGCAGCUGUCAGCCUCCUCUACCUGUGAGGAACCUCUUCUUUUACAGAGGACAAAUCAGAACUGUACCCUCCACUGUUAUUAAAGUCCCCAUCAACCAGAGAAGCAAAACUGUUUCCAGCAGGAAAAGCUGAAGUGUGACGAAUCAAGGACGAUGCCUCAGAGUUCAAGGAGGGAAUCUGCUGCUGAUGCAGGUGACAGGAAUGAUAAGCAUGUUUUCUUGCCAAGCUUUUAACUGGAAAAAAAGGAAAAGACUUACUGUGCGCACCUUCACUACUCC